CCUUCAUAUAUUUAUAUGGUGUAACUUUCAUGAGACGAGGUAGGUCUGUGUAUACUCUUACCUUCUUAAAUUUCACUUAUGGUCAUAGAAUUGUAGAAAAGUGAUUAUUUUAGUCCUAAACAUUCUCAUUUUGUUUUCUUAUAAAGAAAGAAAUCUGAACUCAAAAAAUCUGCUAGAAUACCUGAAUCUGCAAUCUGAACAGGCACAAACUGUUUUAGUUUACCUCUCCUCAUUUUGUUUAUCCUUAUCAGCUCAAUUUAUUUGCUUAGGUAUAUUCAUGUUUUUGUGUUCCAAGCAUAUACUAAAUCUGCAAUCUGAACUCAAAAAAUCUACAAUCUACUAGAGUGCACUGAAUCUGUAAUCUGCUUGAAAUUAAAAUACACAGUGCUGCGUGAACUCAAAAAAUCUGCAGUUUGGAAUCUGCAAUUUGGAACUGCUGCAAUCUGGAAUCUGGAACUUCUUGCCUCAUCUAUAACUGCUGCAAUCUGAUUUGUUGUACAUGGUUUGUUUUGAUUUUUAAUUUCAUUUUAA
rnacentral:lncRNA from 1 species